GAUGAACGCUGGCGGCGUGCCUAAUACAUGCAAGUCGAGUGAAUGGAUUAAGAGCUUGCUCUUAUGAAGUUAGCGGCGGACGGGUGAGUAACACGUGGGUAACCUGCCCAUAAGACUGGGAUAACUCCGGGAAACCGGGGCUAAUACCGGAUAACAUUUUGAACCGCAUGGUUCGAAAUUGAAAGGCGGCUUCGGCUGUCACUUACGGAUGGACACGCGUCGCAUUAGCUAGUUGGGGAGGUAACGGCCCACCAAGGCAACGAUGCGUAGCCGACCUGAGAGGGUGAUCGGCCACACUGGGACUGAGACACGGCCCAGACUCCUACGGGAGGCAGCAGUAGGGAAUCUUCCGCAAUGGACGAAAGUCUGACGGAGCAACGCCGCGUGAGUGAUGAAGGCUUUCGGGUCGUAAAACUCUGUUGUUAGGGAAGAACGAGUGCUAGUUGAAUAAGCUGGCACCUUGACGGUACCUAACCAGAAAGCCACGGCUAACUACGUGCCAGCCGCCGCGGUAA
rnacentral:rRNA from 1 species